CUGGCGGCGUGCCUAAUACAUGCAAGUCGAACGGUCGUUUCUAUGGAAGCUUGCUUCCACUGAGAAGAUAGUGGCGAACGGGUGAGUAACACGUGGGUAACCUGCCCAUAAGAGGGGGAUAACAUCCGGAAACGGGUGCUAAUACCGCAUAGUUUUCUUGAUCGCAUGAUCGGGAAAGGAAAGACGGCCUUUGUGCUGUCGCUUAUGGAUGGACCCGCGGCGUAUUAGUUAGUUGGUGAGGUAACGGCUCACCAAGACGAUGAUACGUAGCCGACCUGAGAGGGUGAUCGGCCACAUUGGGACUGAGACACGGCCCAAACUCCUACGGGAGGCAGCAGUAGGGAAUCUUCCGCAAUGGACGAAAGUCUGACGGAGCAACGCCGCGUGAGUGAAAGAAGGUUUUCGGAUCGUAAAACUCUGUUGUCAGAGAAGAACAAGUUGGAGAGUAACUGCUCCAGCCUUGACGGUAUCUGACCAGAAAGCCACGGCUAACUACGUGCCAGCCGCCGC
rnacentral:rRNA from 1 species